rnacentral:rRNA from 1 species
GCUCGUAGGCGGUCUGUCGCGUCUGGUGUGAAAUCCCAUGGCUCAACUGUGGGCUUGCAUCGGGUACGGGCAGACUAGAGUGCUGUAGGGGAGACUGGAAUUCCUGGUGUAGCGGUGGAAUGCGCAGAUAUCAGGAGGAACACCGAUGGCGAAGGCAGGUCUCUGGGCAGUUACUGACGCUGAGGAGCGAAAGCAUGGGGAGCGAACAGGAUUAGAUACCCUGGUAGUCCAUGCCGUAAACGUUGGGCACUAGGUGUGGGGCGGGUUCCACUCGUUCUGUGCCGUAGCUAACGCAUUAAGUGCCCCGCCUGGGGAGUACGGCCGCAAGGCUAAAACUCAAAGGAAUUGACGGGGGCCCGCACAAGCGGCGGAGCAUGCGGAUUAAUUCGAUGCAACGCGAAGAACCUUACCAAGGCUUGACAUGUACGAGAAAGCCCCAGAGAUGGGGUUCUCUUUGGACACUCGUACACAGGUGGUGCAUGGUUGUCGUCAGCUCGUGUCGUGAGAUGUUGGGUUAAGUCCCGCAACGAGCGCAACCCUUAUCCUAUGUUGCCAGCGGGUUAUGCCGGGGACUCAUGGGAGACUGCCGGGGUCAACUCGGAGGAAGGUGGGGAUGACGUCAAAUCAUCAUGCCCCUUAUGUCUUGGGCUUCACGCAUGCUACAAUGGCCGGUACAGAGGGCUGCGAUACCGUGAGGUGGAGCGAAUCCCAAAAAGCCGGUCUCAGUUCGGAUCGGGGUCUGCAACUCGACCCCGUGAAGUCGGAGUCGCUAGUAAUCGCAGAUCAGCAACGCUGCGGUGAAUACGUUCCCGGGCCUUGUAC